ACGCACGCUGGCGGCAUGCCUAACACAUGCAAGUCGAACGCGACCUUCGGGUCUAGUGGCGCACGGGUGCGUAACACGUGGGAAUCUGCCCUUUGCUUCGGAAUAACAGUUAGAAAUGACUGCUAAUACCGGAUGAUGUCGAAAGACCAAAGAUUUAUCGGCAAAGGAUGAGCCCGCGUAGGAUUAGGUAGUUGGUGGGGUAAAGGCCUACCAAGCCGACGAUCCUUAGCUGGUCUGAGAGGAUGAUCAGCCACACUGGGACUGAGACACGGCCCAGACUCCUACGGGAGGCAGCAGUGGGGAAUAUUGGACAAUGGGCGAAAGCCUGAUCCAGCAAUGCCGCGUGAGUGAUGAAGGCCUUAGGGUUGUAAAGCUCUUUUACCAGGGAUGAUAAUGACAGUACCUGGAGAAUAAGCUCCGGCUAACUCCGUG
rnacentral:rRNA from 1 species